rnacentral:ncRNA from 1 species
UAAAAGUUUUUUUGCUUUGGGGUUUCAAAAAAUUUUGAGUUAAAUGCAAGUUUUGGCAUUAAAAAGAGGGUUAUUUAAAUAAUUAUUUCAUUUUGAUUGGGCAGUCAUUAAUAUUAUAUAUUCGGGGGGCCGAGAUAUAGUGGAAAUUUUUAGUAUAAACAAAAUUUGUGCCAGCAGUUGCGGUUACACAAAUUAUACAAUGAAAUUUUGUUGGGUAUAGUUAACAUAUUAUAGUACUUAGAUAAAAAAAAAAUUUAUUAGGUGAAAUUUUAAAUUUUUAUAAAUCUUAAUUUUGUAUGUGAGGCUAGUAAAUUUUAUAAAAGACUAGGAUUAGAUACCCUAUUAUAAAAAUUAAUAUGUAAAACCUAAAUUAUUAGUAGUUAAGUUCUUGAAAAUUAAUGAAGAUGGCGGUAUUUUAGUCUAUUCAGAGGAAUCUGCCCUGUAAUUGAUAUUCCACGAUUUAAAUUACUUAAAUUUUUAGUUUAUAUAUCGCUGUGAAUUGAACAUUUCUUAUGAAUUUUAAUGUUCAGGAUUUUUAUUAGAAAGAAUAUCAAGUCAAGAUGUAGCUUAUAUUUAAGUAGAGGUGGAUUACAAUAGUUUUAUUUGUGGUUAGUUUAUUGAAAAAUUUAUUAUAAAAUGGAUUUGAAAGUAAUUCUUUAUUAAAAUUUGAAGGAUGAUUAUAGCUCUAAAAUAUGUACAUAUCGCCCGUCGCUUUCACUACAAAGUGGAAUAAGUCGUAACAUAGUAGAUGUACUGGAAAGUGUCUCUAGAAGGCA